ensembl:lncRNA
GACCCGUCGCCCUGGCAACCCCCGACGCGCGCGCGGCUGCCAAUGAAGCGGAAGGAGGGCGGGGUGGGGCCAAGGUGCAGCUGAGUUGGGUCCUGGAGCUCCGGCCCGCGGCCCGCUUUCCCACCCGUCGGGCGCCGGAGACAGCACUAACCCAGGGAACCCAAGAACCGCGCCCCGCAAGCCUGGCUCCGUGCCAACACAAACCCGACGACUGACGCUGUCUACGCUUCCAGCCACAGCGAGCCGCUUCGUGUGCGGUUUGUAGGCGCCCAGAGCUGCAAGUCCGGGAAGGAAACAAGGACUGAGGAAAUGCCGGCGCGCGACCCAAGACUCCGGACAAGUGGCUCUCCAGCAGGGACUGAGAGGCGAGGUCAAUGCCCGCCAGCGUGCGUGUCCAGUCUUCCCGCUAGGGUCACAUUAGGGGAGUAACUCAGAACAGUGCUCUUUCUGGGCUCUUUCAGGGUGGGUCGAGGAUCUGCGGGGACCCAAGCUUGGCUCCGUACCCCUCCCCGCCCGGUACACCCUCAGCGCGCCGCAGGUUCCGGGUUAGUGCACUCACCCCUUCUGCCGAGUUCCUCCAGCUGUGCUUAAGGUCGGUGGGUAACUGCGGUGGACAGAGGACUGGAGCACACGAGCGCCUUUGAGCACCACAAACGGUGACCACACUCGUUCUGUAACGCUUCCUUUUGCACACGCUCUCACCAGCAGCCUUUUUGCCCCUGACUUCCCUCCUACUCCAAGCCCUCCUGCUAGAGCUGCCAGCAGAAACACUCCCUCUGGUUUAUUGCCAGCCUGUCAUGUGCCCAGCACUGUACUAAAAGCACUGCGUUGAAUCCUUGCCACAAACCUAUGAGACAAUCCCCAUCUCCCAGAGGCAACGGUGAUCCUGACCUCUAUCAUCAUGGAUCAGAUGCUGUACCUCGCCUCCCACCAGGCCCUUCUCAGUGGGGAAAGGUAAAGCGCGCUGUCGUUCUGGGCCCACGCAGGCUGGCAGCGGGGCAAUCGUGUUGAUGAAUCACGCCGGCGCUGCGGGCGCCCAGCCCUUGUCGAGGCGUCACUAAUGAAUUAGCUUCAGCCCCAGCACGGGGCCUCUCAGCCUUUUCCCACUCCCCCGAAAGGCAGGAAACUGAAACCUGGGAGCCAGGAGGGGCUCUGACAGCUCCAGGAAUUCACCCAGACCCCAGCCAGCCCCUCUGCCCACACGUGCUGGAAAAAUGUCCAAAGGCCAGGCCCCUCAGGCCCCCUGAAACAGUUUCUCCAAUUCUGGUCAGGAGCUAGAAC